rnacentral:rRNA from 1 species
GAUGAACGCUAGCGGCAGGCCUAACACAUGCAAGUCGAGGGAGAAGCCCUUUCGGGGGCCGAAACCGGCGCACGGGUGCGUAACGCGUAUGCAACCUACCUUUCACAGGGGGAUAGCCCGAAGAAAUUUGGAUUAAUACCCCAUAAUAUUAUUGGAUGGCAUCAUUUGAUAAUUAAAACUGCGGUGGUGAAAGAUGGGCAUGCGUCCUAUUAGCUAGUUGGAGUGGUAACGGCACCCCAAGGCUACGAUAGGUAGGGGUCCUGAGAGGGAGAUCCCCCACACUGGUACUGAGACAGGGACCAGACUCCUACGGGAGGCAGCAGUGAGGAAUAUUGGUCAAUGGUCGGAAGACUGAACCAGCCAUGCCGCGUGCAGGAAGAAUGCCUUAUGGGUUGUAAACUGCUUUUAGAUGGGAAGAAUAAGGCGUACGUGUACGUUGAUGACGGUACCAUAUGAAUAAGCAUCGGCUAACUCCGUG